AUUGAACGCUGGCGGCAGGCUUAACACAUGCAAGUCGAGCGAGCGGCGGACGGGUGAGUAAUGUCUGGGAAACUGCCUGAUGGAGGGGGAUAACUACGGGCAACGGUAGCUAAUACCGCAUACCAUCAGAUGUGCCCAGAUGGGAUGAGCUAGGAGGUGGGGUAAUGGCUAAACUAGUCGACGAUCCCUAGCUGGUCUGAGAGGAUGACCAUCCACAGUGGAACUGAUACACGGUCCAGCCUCCUACGGGAGGCAGCAGUGGGGAAUAUUGCACAAUGGGCGCAAGCCUGAUGCAUCCAUGCCGCGUGUGUGAAGAAGGCCUUCGGUUUGUAGAGCACUUUCAGCGAGGAGGCGUUACUCGCAGAAGAAGCACCGGCUAACUCCGUGCCAGCAGCCGCGGUAAUAC
rnacentral:rRNA from 1 species